CCUACGGGAGGCAGCAGUGGGGAAUAUUGCACAAUGGGGGAAACCCUGAUGCAGCGACGCCGCGUGAGUGAAGAAGUAAUUCGUUAUGUAAAGCUCUAUCAGCAGGGACGAAAAUGACGGUACCUGAGUAAGAAGCCCCGGCUAACUACGUGCCAGCAGCCGCGGUAAGACGUAGGGGGCAAGCGUUAUCCGGAUUUACUGGGUGUAAAGGGAGCGUAGACGGCAGUGCAAGUCUGGAGUGAAGGGCGGGGGCUCAACCCCCGGACUGCUCUGGAAACUGUACGGCUGGAGUGCAGGAGAGGUAAGUGGAAUUCCUGGUGUAGCGGUGAAAUGCGUAGAUAUUAGGAGGAACACCAGUGGCGAAGGCGGCUUACUGGAAUGUAACUGACGUUGAGGCUCGAAAGCGUGGGGAGCAAACAGGAUUAGAUACCCUAGUAGUC
rnacentral:rRNA from 1 species